CCCAAACUUACACUACGUCUUGAAUUAUUCAGACAAGCAAAGAUAAGUAAUGAGUCUGAAGAAUGUGCUUUGGUUUUUACCUUUAAAACUUGGACAGUGAUUUGGAAGUGCCCCUUAGUACAACUCCUUUUCUAAAUAAAAGUCUGCUCCAUUUGCAACUCUGAACAUGUAAAUUGAAGGGGUGGCUCCCUUGGCCAGUGCCUGACCUCUGUGCACACCUUGGUCUGGCGUGACCUCGCCCACACUGCACACUGCAGCCAUAUAAAUCAGAUUUUUGACAUGUUAUAAAAUGCAAGUCACAGCUGCUGUUGUCUGCAGUAUUCAAAAACUUUUGAAACACUGCAUGUCCAACAAAAUUUAUUUUGUGUAUGAAUGUAAGUUUUUAUUGAGGGUACUGUUUUUCAACCCUAAUCUCUUGACCAAGAAUGAAACUAUUUACAAAUUAAGAUGCCAACAGAUCACGAAGAGCCCUGUGGUCCCAGUCACAAGUCAUUUUGCCUGAAUGGGGGGCUUUGUUAUGUGAUACCUACUAUUCCCAGCCCAUUUUGUAGGAAGUGAACUGAUGCUGGCUUCUCUUUGUCUUAUUCCAAGUUGGGGCAUGAGAUUUUCCCUGCAUUAGAAGGUUAUUGAGACCUGAAGCCUGGGAAGGUGUAUUGAAAACUAUACAGGAGCUCGCUGUGAAGAGGUUUUUCUCCCAAGCUCCAGCAUCCAAACUAAAAAUAACCUGUUUGAAGCUUUCAUGGCGUUGGCAGUCCUAAUAACACUUAUCAUUGGAGCCUUCUACUUCCUUUGCAGUGUCAGGAAGGUCCACUUUCAGAGAGCCAGUUCAGUCCAGUAUGAUAUCAACCUGGUAGAGACGAGCAGUACCAGUGCCCACCACAGUCAUGGAGAACACUGAAGAAACGUCAAAGUGAACCAAAUCAUUGCUUUUAUUUUACAGAGGCAGAAAAUGAAACACCACUAGGAUUUUCAUUAAGCCAACUCAUACCCAGUUUCUACAAAUGAAAAUCAAAGUCAAUCAUCUAAAAUUUCAUGAUUUCUUCCCAUCAAGAGGAUCUGGAGUCUUCUGUUCCCAUUAAAACUGAAUUUAUGGCAGUGCAAGCCCGGGCCAGACUGGGUAAAAAAUGAUGGAAGCACAUUUAUAUUCUUAAAAAUUUCUGCAGAUUGCAUAGAAAGUUCUCAGAUUUGUAAAAGUUUAUUUCUAUUGUAAUUCUUUGCAUGUUCAUUUUGUUAAAUUUGCAAUAUAAACCAGUUGCACAUCUUUUGCUAUCUGGCCUCCUAGGUUGAGGCUUAGGGUUUGCUUUAAGCAAAACUGAGAUAACUAUAAUGUGAACUGGCCUACUGGAUUGCCCACUUUUAUCAAUCUGCAAGGGUGGAUCUAUUUCUAGGUCUUAAUUUCAAGGUUUACUUUCCCUUUUCCUUAGAUUUUACUUGGAUCAAAGGGCAUGGAAAUAUAUUUCUUGCUUAAGUCUUACACAAAGGAAACUGUGGCCCCAGAAAUUAUUUUGCUUUGAAAGUAUGUAGAUGAAAUAAGUAUUUUUAAAUGUCUUGAUUAAAUAAAGCAUUCUAUGAUCUGA